UACGUAGGGGGCAAGCGUUGUCCGGAUUUAUUGGGCGUAAAGAGCUCGUAGGCGGUUCGGCAAGUCGGGUGUGAAACCCCCAGGCUCAACCUGGGGACGCCACCCGAUACUGCUGUGACUUGAGUCCGGUAGGGGAGCGUGGAAUUCCUGGUGUAGCGGUGAAAUGCGCAGAUAUCAGGAGGAACACCAGCGGCGAAGGCGGCGCUCUGGGCCGGAACUGACGCUGAGGAGCGAAAGCGUGGGUAGCAAACGGG
rnacentral:rRNA from 1 species